ensembl:lncRNA
CCAGACCCGCUCCGCUCUGAUAGCGCGGCUCUCCCCACGCUGCUGUCCCUGCAGCCCGCUGUGGGCUCGGGUCCCCCCUCGCCUGUGCUGACACGGCCGCAGCAACCCAUCCCUCGCACCCGACGCUGCUCGCCUGCGUCUCGGUGCGAGGCAAACCCUCCCAAAGCAAACAGCGGUUGCUGCCGUCUGCAGCGACUCAGCUGCGCUGAAGGCAGCGGUCGGAGCGAAGUGCAGCUCGGAGAAGGCUGUGGGGAAGAGCGCGUUGCGUGGCACGUGGCGGGGCAGGAAACGCGCUGCAGCGGGCGAUGCUUUAUCAGGGCAGCCCACCCAGAAGCCGUUCAUCUCCCUGCAGCUGCAGACCUGCGGCUGGGAGCGCUGGGGGCUUUCUCCCAGGGAGGCGAGAGGAACCUGGGCUAUCACGAGGAAACAAGCGCCCGCCCCGUGCCCCCUGUCAGGAAGCAGGGCCUCCUUCCAGCCCGCCGUGCUCAGCACCGUGAGUCAGCACUGCCGGAGCCCAGACUUGUUUGCAGCAGCAGCGAGGCGGUGCGGGAGGUGUGGGCUGCGGGAGCCCUUCUGCCCAAACGCCAUCCGGGAUGAAAUGGGGCUAACAGGGAGCAAAAGGCUGAACGGUGCUCGUGGACUCGUUCUGCACCGACCUGCCAGUCUGCAGGCCCCAAAAAUACAGGCACGGCCCAAAGGUUUCUAUUCAGGGCUCAGCAGUGGAAUAAGGAACAUGAGCCGUGGGAUAUCCCGUGUCACCGCAGGCUGCUCAGCCUGGAAGGGGCUGGUGGCAAAGGGAGGAAACGUCAGAAACGCCAUGGACUAUUUUAGAUCUGCAACCUCAGUUCUGCAAAGGACAGCCUGCUGAUGUGCCACGCUCAGCGAGCAGCGGGGAGGAACCCCACGGCAGGAAGAGAGGUUUGCAAGUUUCCCUUUCCCAUAGAGCACAUCCCAAACUGCUGCACGACAGCAUGCUGUGCAGUGCUGUGCUGCGUGGUGUCCUGUCAGCCUGCUGGGAGGACACGGAGUGCUCCAGCAGUGGGCAAUGUGGGAGCAGGCUGUGAGCUGCACAGCCCAGCAUACAGCACGGUGUGAGGCUGGAACUCCCAGUGCCCUCAGCACGUCUCCGUGCUGCGUCCCUGGCUGUGCAGCUCGGCCUGGAGGGCCCGGGGCUGUGAGCUCAUGGGUUUCUAUUUAUGCUUUCAUCUGGUUUUGCCUGCUUUGGACGGUUAACGUAACGCACACGCAGGGUGGUGCUUCAAGGAGACAAACAGUUGCUUCAUCUCCCUGUACAGACAGCCCUCUGCCCUUUGCGUUUCGAUUCCCGGUGUCUGUGUGUGUGGAGGUGAUUUGUCCAUAAUUGUUUGCUUUCUCCGGAGUCCUUUGAAGCGUCUGUCUCCCAACCGGUCCCCUCUUAAGAAUAAAUGCUUCCAAGCCACCAAUAACACGUGGGCCAUGAUUACAGCCCGGCUCCUCGCUGAGGGCCGUGAGGUCACCGAGGCAGCGCAGUGGGAACG